ACUGGAAUCAGCUUGUCCGGCCGUCCGGCUGUCCGGCUGUCCGGCCGUCCGGCCGUCCGGCUGUCCGUCGGUUUUUUCUUGUCCGCCCAAUAACUUAAGAUUCCUUUGACCCUUAGUCUUCAUAUUUGGCAUGGAGGUUAGUCAUGAUUAGUAGAUGACCCCUAUUGAUUUUGAGGUCACCAGGUCAAAGGUCAAGGUCACAGGGGCCUUGACUUCAAAAAGCUUGUCCGCCCAAUAACUUAAGAUUCCUUUGACCUACAGUCGUCAUAUUUGGCAUGGAGGUUAGUCAUGAUUAGUAGAUGACCCCUAUUGAUUUUGAGGUCACCAGGUCAAAGGUCAAGGUCACAGGGGCCUUGACUUCAAAAAGCUUGUCCGCCCAAUAACUUAAGAUUCCUUUGACCCACAGUCUUCAUAUUUGGCAUGGAGAUUAGUCAUGAUUAGUAGAUGACCCCUAUUGAUUUUGAGGUCACCAGGUCAAAGGUCAAGGUCACAGGGGCCUUGACUUCAAAAAGCUUGUCCGCCCAAUAACUUAAGAUUCCUUUGACCCAUAGUCUUCAUAUUUGGCAUUGAGGUUAGUCAUGAUUAGUAGAUGACCCCUAUUGAUUUUGAGGUCACCAGGUCAAAGGUCAAGGUCACAGGGGCCUUGACUUCAAAAAGCUUGUCCGCCCAAUAACUUAAGAUUCCUUUGACCCAUAGUCUUCAUAUUUGGCAUUGAGGUUAGUCAUGAUUAGUAGAUGACCCCUAUUGACUUUGAGGUCACCAGGUCAAAGGUCAAGGUCACAGGGGCCUUGACUUCAAAAAGCUUGUCCGCCCAAUAACUUAAGAUUCCUUUGACCCAUAGUCUUCAUAUUUGGCAUUGAGGUUAGUCAUGAUUAGUAGAUGACCCCUAUUGACUUUGAGGUCAAAGGUCAAGAUCACAGGGGCCUUGACUUCAAAAAGCUUGUCCGCCCUAUAACUUAAGAUUCCUUUGACCCACAGUCUUCAUAUUUGGCAUGGAGGUUAGUCAUGAUUAGUUGAUGACCCCUAUUGAUUUUGAGGUCACCAGGUCAAAGGUCAAGGUCACAGGGGCCUUGACUUCAAAGAGCUUGUCUGCCCAAUAUUUUAAGAUUCCUUUGACCCACAGUCUUCAUAUUUGGAAUGGAGGUUAGUCAUGAUUAGUAGAUGACCCCUAUUGAUUUUGAGGUCACCAGGUCAAAGGUCAAGGUCACAGGGACUUUGACUUCAAAAAGUUUGUCUGCCCAAUAACUUUAGAUUCCUUUGACCCACAGUCUUCAUAUUUGGCAUGGAUGUUGAUCAUGAUUAGUAGAUGACCCCUUUUGAUUUUGAGGUCACUGGAUCAAAGGUCAAGGUCAUAGGGACUUUGACUUCAAAAAGUUUGUCCACCCAUUAACUUAAGAUUCCUUUGACCCACAGUCUUCAUAUUUGGCAUGGAUGUUGAUCAUGACUAUAAGGUGACCCCUAUUGAUUUUGAGGUCACUGGGUCAGAGGUCAAGGUCACAGGGACCUUGACAUAAAAAAAGCUUUUCUUCUCAAUUGCUAAAGAAUGUCCUGUCCGCAAUGUAUUGAUUUUGACAUUUUCACAUUUGAAGCAUGUAGAAUACAUAACUUAGCAAUGCACUGGCUUAGUAACCUCAGAUUUGGCAGGGAGGUUGUCCUUGAGCUCUAAAUGGCCACUGUUGAUUCUGACAAAGUGGUAUGCGGGGGUAUUCACGCCAUGAUAGUGGCAGUUCUAGUUUAUAUUG